rnacentral:rRNA from 1 species
CUAGCUGCGUGAAUUAAUGUGAAUUGCAGAACACAUUGAACAUCGACACCUUGAACGCACAUGGCGGCUUCGGGUUUACCCCGGGGCCACGCCCGUCUGAGGGUCGGUUGGCUAAAGCGAUCGCUACCUUGUCCGUAAAUUUUUUUUAUGUCCAGUUUCUAUCAUUUCUCGGGCUCUCGCGAGAUUGUGCAUGAGACUGGUACAUCAAAAUAAUUUUGGUAGCGCAUUGGGCCUUCGUGAAUAGCGUACGGUUAGCGCCCUUGCUCUCUGCGCUUCGUCGCAUGUUCUCGUGGCUUUAAGUACAGGAUGCGCCGUCGUCCUAUCUGUCCUACGAGAUGCUGCUCGCCUCGUCGGUGGUCUCUCGCUGCGCGACAGGUACCCGGCUCGUGCUUUAAAAGCGAGCUGUACGGACCUGGGACGCGCGUGAAAUGUUCGGGAGAUGGGCCGCAUAGCAGCGAUUCGUUCGGACUUACGGCGUCCGUCUUACACAUUAAUUUGUGUGGCGUGAAACAUUUUUUAUCCGACCUCAGAUCGGACGAGAUUACCCGCUGAAUUUAAGCAUAUUACUAAGCGGAGGAAAAGAAACUAACAAGGAUUUCCCUAGUAACGG